GACGAACGCUGGCGGCGUGCUUAACACAUGCAAGUCGAACGGAAAGGCCCUGCUUUUGUGGGGUGCUCGAGUGGCGAACGGGUGAGUAACACGUGAGUAACCUGUCCUUGACUUUGGGAUAACUUCAGGAAACUGGGGCUAAUACCGCAUAGGAGCUCCUGCUGCAUGGUGGGGGAUGGUAAGUUUCGGUGGUUGGGGAUGGACUCGCGGCUUAUCAGCUUGUUGGUGGGGUAGUGGCUUACCAAGGCUUUGACGGGUAGCCGGCCUGAGAGGGGGACCGGCCACAUUAGGACUGAGAUACGGCCCAGACUCGUACGGGAGGGAGCGGUGGAGAGUAGUGCACUAUAGGCGGAAGCCAGGUGCAACAACGCCACGUGCGGGAAGACGGCCAGCGGGUUGUGAACCACUGUCGCCUGUGACGAGACGUUAGUGACGGUAAUGGGUAAAUAAGCACCGGCUAACUACGUG
rnacentral:rRNA from 1 species